CUUUUUUUUUUUUUGAACAAACUGGUGAUGUAGCUAUCUCGUGUCUCAAUUCGAUCUCAAUUCGAGUGUCGAAUUCCACCAAUCCAUUAGGGUUCCUGGGAAAUUUUAAGUGCCUUUUGAUCAAUUGAAGAUCUCAAGUUUUUCAAUUGCUGUGUGUGUGAUGGUGGCAAUGGAGAUUGGACCAGAUGGGUCAGGCUUGAUGGAAUUGAAGAGGAUAGUGGUGAGAGCGAAAUAUUUGAACUGUGUGACCAUUUUCAUUUCUAUUUCAGAGGUGUAACUCUAUCCUUGGUCUCAUUUGUUUCUGGAACAGAAGAGUAGGGUACAUUUGUAUUGGGCUCUCACUCAGCUUGCCCUGAUUCACCACUUGGUCCAGACGCGUAUACGAAACCUUACUUGUUCAAGAUUACAAUGAAGUUACCAAGAAAAGCAACCAAAUACCUAAAGGCAAAGGGGUUCCUAAGUUCUCUUCCGCACUUGAAUCCCUCACGAUGGAGCCUAUUACACGUGAAAAUGUAGAUGAUUCAUCAGAUUAUGCAGAGCGUUUGUCUACCUUGCCAAUGAUUAGUUGCCGAGAAGCCUCCUUGUCCCGUCAACAUGAGGAUUCUCUUAGUUUUGGACUGCCUCCAAUAAGCACUGGAUACUGAUGAUGUUCCUCCUGGUGCAACCCUUACCGCCCAUUUUCUCUACCAGCUGGCCCUUAAGAUGGAGUUGAAGUUGGAGAUAUUUUCACUUGGUGAUGUAUCAAAGAACGUUGGGAAGAUUACGACAGAAGGGUUCUUACAUACACUUGUGAUCCACAAAACGAAUGCGGCCACAAGAAAUCGACCACCAACUGGACUGAGCUACUAAACGGAUCGAAAGGAUGGAAGUGUACUGGUGAAGAAAUGGCUUCAAGAGGCUCUGCGUCGUGAAAACAUCUCUGUUAACGUGAGGGCACAGCCUGGUUACGCCACGAAACCAGAGCUCCAGGCCAUGGUCAAGGCGUUUUCCCAAAAGCCAGUUGUCUUUAUUGAGAAACAAAGGGAUUAUUCAGUUAGCGGCAGCUACAGCCGCUUCGCUUGAUGGUGUUAAAUGUAAGUGCUGUGUGAUACGAGUCAGGGUGUGGCAGCUCAAAUCAGUGACCUGAUAAACAAAACACUCCAAGCGAAGAAGAAUGAGAAGCAAGAUUCAUCAUCACGAGGGCUUCUGUCUUUCCGUGAUGCCCUACUUCUUACAGUAGUUGGUUACAUUCUCGCUGGCGAGAAUUUUCUUACAGCCGGCUUCUCUUGGCAAGAAGAGCAUUUUCGAUGCUGUUCUCGGGAAUCCUUCUGCUGGGAAUCUCAAGUUUCUAAAUGGGUUGACAGAAGAGCUUGAUGAUCAGUUAGACAUUGAUGCCCUUGAUGAUGAUCCAUGGACCAUGGUGGAAAUGGCAAAACAUGAGUUUUUGAUUUUGCAGAUGGUGUACAUAUACCUUACGACUAUGAUCCCUAAAGAAGAUGCACUUCUGUGUGAGAUGUCUUAGCUUGGAAACACUGAUCUGAGAACUCUAUUAUAGAUGGCUCGAGCAAUAACGAUUUACUUUGUCGAAGUAUGAAGAUGAGACCACACCAGAAAUUUGAAGUUGCUAGAGUGUAAGGUGUGAGUGGAUUUUAUGGAGAGGAGAACGAAUAGAACUUUCUUUUCUGAUCACAGACCGGUUUGUGCAAUAUCUGCAAUAGAAGUUGAUGUGAAGAGUCUGAAAAAGGUAGGUUCAGGAAGUUUAUUCUUGUGAAGCUGCAAGAUUGGUUGAAGAUUGCCAUUCACAAAAGCAUAGUUUGGUUUUAACUAAGAUUGUUACCGUUCUUUUUGAGAACGAAAUAUAUUAUUUGGAGAAGUAUUUUUUUUCUUCAUUGUAUAGCUAUAUGUUUUCUUUUGGCAUCAGCCAUCAUGGUAUAUAUAUAUUUGAUUGUAAUUAGAUGAGAUCAGUUUACAUAUGGAGUUAAAAUCAUAUUGGCUGCUAUCGAACUCUCCUAUUGACA